AGGACGAACGCUGGCGGCGCGCUUAACACAUGCAAGUCGAACGUGAAACCCGGGCUUGCCCGGGCGGAAAGUGGCGAACGGGUGCGUAACACGUGAGGAACGUGCCCCGAAGACCGGGAUAACUCGAGGAAACUCGUGCUAAUACCGGAUGUCCUCACCGGAUCGCAUGGUCUGGUGAGGAAAUGGAUUCCGCUUCGGGAUCGCCUCGCGGCCUAUCAGCUUGUUGGUGGGGUAAUGGCCUACCAAGGCAACGACGGGUAGCUGGUCUGAGAGGAUGUCCAGCCACACUGGGACUGAGACACGGCCCAGACUCCUACGGGAGGCAGCAGUGGGGAAUCUUGCACAAUGGGCGAAAGCCUGAUGCAGCGACGCCGCGUGCGGGAUGAAGGCCCUCGGGUCGUAAACCGCUUUCAGCAGGGACGAUAGUGACGGUACCUGCAGAAGAAGCCCCGGCCAACUACGUGCCAGCAGCCGC
rnacentral:rRNA from 1 species